rnacentral:rRNA from 1 species
AUUGAACGCUGGCGGCAUGCCUUACACAUGCAAGUCGAACGGCAGCACGGACUUCGGUCUGGUGGCGAGUGGCGAACGGGUGAGUAAUACAUCGGAACGUGCCUAGUAGUGGGGGAUAACUACUCGAAAGAGUGGCUAAUACCGCAUGAGAUCUAUGGAUGAAAGCAGGGGACCUUAGGGCCUUGUGCUACUGGAGCGGCCGAUGGCAGAUUAGGUAGUUGGUGGGAUAAAAGCUUACCAAGCCGACGAUCUGUAGCUGGUCUGAGAGGACGAUCAGCCACACUGGGACUGAGACACGGCCCAGACUCCUACGGGAGGCAGCAGUGGGGAAUAUUGCACAAUGGGCGAAAGCCUGAUGCAGCAACGCCGCGUGAGUGAUGAAGGCC